rnacentral:rRNA from 1 species
CUCGUAGGCUGCCAACUAGUCAGACGUGAAAUCCCUCGGCUUAACCGGGGAAUUGCGUCUGAUACUGGAUGGCUUGAGGUUGGGAGAGGGAUGCGGAAUUCCAGGUGUAGCGGUGAAAUGCGUAGAUAUCUGGAGGAACACCGGUGGCGAAGGCGGCAUCCUGGACCAAAUCUGACGCUGAGGAGCGAAAGCCAGGGGAGCAAACG